AAAUUGAAGAGUUUGAUCAUGGCUCAGAUUGAACGCUGGCGGCAGGCCUAACACAUGCAAGUCGAACGGUAACAGGAAGCAGCUUGCUGCUUUGCUGACGAGUGGCGGACGGGUGAGUAAUGUCUGGGAAACUGCCUGAUGGAGGGGGAUAACUACUGGAAACGGUGGCUAAUACCGCAUAACGUCGCAAGACCAAAGAGGGGGACCUUCGGGCCUCUUGCCAUCAGAUGUGCCCAGAUGGGAUUAGCUUGUUGGUGAGGUAACGGCUCACCAAGGCGACGAUCCCUAGCUGGUCUGAGAGGAUGACCAGCCACACUGGAACUGAGACACGGUCCAGACUCCUACGGGAGGCAGCAGUGGGGAAUAUUGCACAAUGGGCGCAAGCCUGAUGCAGCCAUGCCGCGUGUAUGAAGAAGGCCUUCGGGUUGUAAAGUACUUUCAGCGGGGAGGAAGGUGUUGCGGUUAAUAAC
rnacentral:rRNA from 1 species